rnacentral:rRNA from 1 species
UACAGAGACUGCAAGCGUUAUUCGGAUUCACUGGGCGUAAAGGGUGCGCAGGCGGCCAAGUGUGUUAGGCGUGAAAGCCUGAGGCUUAACCUCAGAAUUGCACCUAAAACUACAUGGCUAGAGCAUUGGAGAGGGUAGCGGAAUUCACGGUGUAGCAGUGAAAUGCGUAGAUAUCGUGAGGAACACCAGAGGCGAAGGCGGCUACCUGGACAAUCGCUGACGCUCAGGCACGAAAGCGUGGGGAGCAAAAGGG